rnacentral:rRNA from 1 species
AGCGAACGCCGGCGGCAGGCUUAACACAUGCAAGUCGAACGGUCCUUCGGGAUAGUGGCGGACGGGUGAGUAACACGUGGGAACGCACCCUUAGGUUCGGAACAACACAGGGAAACUUGUGCUAAUACCGGAUAAGCCCUUCGGGGGAAAGAUUUAUCGCCUUUGGAGCGGCCCGCGUCUGAUUAGCUUGUUGGGGAGGUAAUGGCUCACCAAGGCUACGAUCAGUAGCUGGUCUGAGAGGAUGGCCAGCCACACUGGGACUGAGACACGGCCCAGACUCCCACGGGAGGCAGCAGUGGGGAAUCUUGCGCAAUGGGCGAAAGCCUGACGCAGCCAUGCCGCGUGGAUGAUGAAGGUCUUAGGAUUGUAAAAUCCUUUCACCGGGGACGAUAAUGACGGUACCCGGAGAAGAAGCCCCGGCUAACUUCGUGCCAGCCGCCGCCGUAA